GCGGAGGAGGAAGCGGAGGAGGGGGUCGGCGGGGACGGCGGAGGAGUGGAAGCCGUCGCUGUGCGCGAUAUCGGAGGACGUGGUGGCGGUGACGGUGGAGAGAGUCGGAGGAGGAGGAGGAGGAGGCAGAGAGACGAAGAAGAAGGCGGCAGCGGCGGAUCCGGCUCCGGAGCCGGAGCGGUCCGCCUCGCGGAAGAGGAGCGGGGGUUCGUACGUGAGAGUCCACGACCGGGGCCUCAACAGCGACGAGUACGAUCAGAGGAGGGCUUCGUUUCAGGCGGUCAUUCCGGCUUUCUCUCCGGCUCCAUUCAUGUUCUGAAAGUCGUUCUUGGUGUACAGGGUGAAUCGCUACAGUUUUCUUAAGUCUGGGUGUGGAAGUGGAGGCCAAAGAGUAGAUUUUGCUUUGUAUAUACGACCACUGUGUCCCCCCUUUUUAUAUAAUAUAUAUUUGUCUAUUUUUGGCAUGCAUUUGUACAGUGUUUGCUGAGUUGAAGGUCUAUGGAGAGGUCCUUCUACCAAAAAUUCAUGCAGAGAAUGACGCGACACGUUCCUGUUUGAGAGAACUCGAUGAAAAUUUGGUAGAAUCCAAUGUUGCUCGACUUGGGGAAAAUUGUCUUUUUAUUUUUAUUUUUAUUUUUAUUUUCCUUCUCCUCCCCUCAAAUAAAUGGGGAAAAAAAAAGACUGUACAAAUAAUUUUCAGUGUAAAUGCCAUAAAAAUCCCCCAAAUUAUGCC